UGCCAGACUCCUACGGGAGGCAGCAGUGGGGAAUAUUGCACAAUGGGGGAAACCCUGAUGCAGCGACGCCGCGUGAGUGAAGAAGUAUUUCGGUAUGUAAAGCUCUAUCAGCAGGGAAGAGAAUGACGGUACCUGAGUAAGAAGCCCCGGCUAACUACGUGCCAGCAGCCGCGGUAAUACGUAGGGGGCAAGCGUUAUCCGGAUUUACUGGGUGUAAAGGGAGCGUAGACGGCGAUGCAAGCCAGAUGUGAAAGCCCGGGGCUCAACCCCGGGACUGCAUUUGGAACUGUGUGGCUGGAGUGUCGGAGAGGCAAGUGGAAUUCCUAGUGUAGCGGUGAAAUGCGUAGAUAUUAGGAGGAACACCAGUGGCGAAGGCGGCUUACUGGACUGUAGCUGACGUUGAGGCUCGAAAGCGUGGGGAGCAAACAGGAUUAGAUACCCUUGUA
rnacentral:rRNA from 1 species